rnacentral:piRNA from 1 species
UGCCUUGUAUGGACCUAGAACCGUCUA